AAAAAAAAGGGGGGGGGUAGUUACUAAAAGGAGGGCAAUUGCAUCCUCCCACUGGAGUUCAGCCUACAAGCUACCCUUUCUUGGGAGCUGGUUUGAUUUCCCUUGGAUUUUGCUGCUCCGGGCAGGGUGUUUUAUCUGCCUUUUAGCCUCUGACCCAGAGGUGUGACCUUUUCACUUUUAUCUCUUUUGGAGUAAGCCUGGGCCCUGUCAAAGUUCCCUGAGAGACUAAUGGUAAGCACAGAGCAAGAAAGGCCAUGUCGGACAGUGAAGAGGACAGAGCGCUGCGGUGGGUGAUGGAGAGGUGCCUCCCGCCUGCUCUCUGGGACAGGUCCUGUGGCCGUGCAGCCCCAGCAGCAGCUCUGACACCCAGCAGCAAUGGUUGCCUGAAUGCAGGCAACUGAGGGCUAAUCCCUGCUAAACCCACCUUUGCCUCCCACCCCAGCAAUGCAGCAGCAAUAAAUAAGGGCAUAAUCACUUUCAGGAGACAUGCUUGCUUAUCUCUUUUUGUUUAAAGCAGACAGAUUUAGUCCUGGUAUGAAGCAGCUCAUGGAAAUAAUAUUCAGUUCUUACUAUUAACCUUUAUGUUUUUUUAAAUCUCCUUUUUUUUUUUUUUUUUUUUUUCCUACGGAGAAGUCUUUUCUGUGUCCUUGAAUGCAAGAUCUGUUGAGCUUCAAAAAAUAGACAUUCAUUUCUUGUAUUCUUACUAAUUCACAAAUUUUGGAUGCCUUAGAGCAGCAUUGUCAGCAACAGCAUCUUUCAAACUGCCUGAAGAGGACACAGAAAAUCAGCACAAGAAAAAUGCAUCUGUGAUACAGAGCUGCAUGGGAUGUGUCCUACGAGGAUCCUUCCUGAUGCUGGAACAGACCAGACCGCUGCGUGCCAGAAGCUGGUGCUCAUCCCCAUUUCCAGCGUGUGCCACAUCAGUGGAACAUGAAUCAUGGCUGGUGUUUUGGAUUUGCAGACCAAGUUUCAGAUUUCCAGCUCUUCUCUUUGGUUAUGACAGUGCUCUUAUUUACCUUGCUGUUUUUCACUAAAAAACAAAUAAUAAUUGUUGAGGCAGGAAAAGAAAGGCUGAAUGACCACCUCUCAGUUGUACAGAAAACCCAUUCUGUACUUACCUGGGAGAUUUAAAAAAAAAAAAAAAAAGAGUUCAUUGAAUCUUAUGGGUAGAGAAUUCAUUUGUUUCACAUUGGUGCCCUCCUUCAGGCUGCUGGCUGAACUUGGCUUUAAAAAGCACUGCAUUAUCGUAAAGAGUUUGUCUUACAUAAAAAGUAAAUAGCCUUUCAAUGUUCAGGAUUUGUUGUGGUAACUCAUCAUAAAUCAGAGUAAAGAAAAAAAAAAAUAUUUUCCCACUGUAGUGGAACUUAAAAUUUUCAAAUGUCUGAUUUUAUCAACUCUUCCCUGGAAGCAAAAAACCUUCUCAGUCUCCCAUGGAAGCUGCUCUGCGGGACUGGAACCAGCUGCACUAUAUAAUGUCUCCUUCUCAUUCUUGUAUCUUCUUGCUCGGAACUUUCAGCUGUCACCAGAUAACAACUUCUGACAAAGUCUUUAGAGUCACUUCCUCUGGGGAGAAUUCAAAGCUGGGUAUCUAUUGUUGUUCUCUAGCUGCACAUAUGUAUCUUUAUGAUGGGCUGACCCCCAGCCCACAAACCCACAGCCUUCCCUCCUUCCCACCAAGUAAUUUGUUGAAAGUAACCAACUCCUGAAAAAAAAAUGGCUCCCAUGUGUCAGACAAAAGCGGAGAAGGGUCCAGUUUGGGUCUGGAAAAGCCUGGGUACAACUCGCAGCUCUGCCACAUAGCUUCUCUGCAAGUAAUUACGUGUCUUUGCACUUCACACAUAAAAUGGAGAUAUAAAAAGUCAGUCACAAAAGUGGUCUCACAUCUUGCCUCAAAACUUGCCAUCUCACUUAACUGUCAUGAUUUGUUUUACCUUCUGAAUUUGAGCCUGUCAGAUUUGAGAAUUUAAGCCAUUUUCAAACCUUUUUUCUGAAAACACUUAGUUAAGAUCUCAGGCAACAGGCUUUUGACAAAACAGGAUUACACAACCAAAUCCCAAAGUUGGCUCAUGGGACAUCUCUACCCAUCUUCAAGCUUUAAGCUUGACACAUUGUACCUGACAAUGCUAGAUGGGAUUUUGAUUUUGGAGACAUUUUUAUAUGAGGAAUGCCAGAACACUGAUUCUUUCAUGCAUACAUAAAAAUGCUUUGCCAGGAUGUUAUACUUCAUUUGGGCAUAUACAUGUUACCUGUUAACUGCUGGCAAAAUGGCUUUAGCUGAUGCCCACUGCCUCUUCACCGAGAGACUUUAUUUAUAGCAGUGCUCUGAUAAUUGGUAAAUUUAUUAAAGCAGAGAGGUUCCUCAGAUCUGUACUCAUUCCAGCUUUGUCAGAGACAAAUAUUCCAACAACACACUCAUUUUUGCAAUCCCCAUUGCAGACGUUUAACUGCAGGAUGAUUCAGGCCAAUUUAAGCAGCCAAAUUUCCCUAUACAGUCAAGGAAGAGCGGUCUCUCCAAGGGUGUUUCAAAGCACAGCUAUUGGCUGCCCAGUGCUAGACAGUAUGACUGUCUUCUUCCCAAAUAAUUCAGCCUCUCACAAGAAAGUAAUGAUUCAGGCUGCAAAAAUUGCAUGACUUCUUAAAAACAGAAAGGGUAAUUUUGUUUGCUAUUCUCAGGUUUUCAGGCUGCUCCUCUUCAGUCAUAAUAGCAACACAUUUGCUGUGUGAUCAAGCUUCAUGUGGGCUCUUGGUUUCUGAUUCUGGGCGUCCUGCAGCAAGAAAAGUAAUUGCUGUAGUUUAACCCAAGCUGGUAACGGGGACCAUGUAGAUUCUCACCAAGAAACCCCUCCCUAGCCCCAAAUGGGAUGGGUGAGAGAAUUGACAGGGAAGGAUAAACUCAUGGGCUGAGAGAAGAACAGUUUAAUAAGACAGCAAAGGAAGAGGAAAAAAAAAAUACAGAUAUUUAUAAAAUAAAUUAUGCACAAUGCAAUUGCUCACAAACACCAGCCCAGUAUAGCUAGUCGCAGAAGUUUGAGCUCAAACAUGAUGGGGCCAAACAGCCAGCCCUGGAAGAAAAGUUCUCCAGUCUUGAACAUGCAAUCCCAGAAAGAGAGCAAAAAGGUAAAAGGCAAACUGGCAAAAGGCAGAGCUGGAAAAGAUGGACAUGGAGCUAGACACAGAGCAUGAUGUUAAUAGUAAGGAAUAUCUCGUUGGUCAGCCUGGAUGUCAAUCUAGGUGCUGUUCUGUUAUGUUCCCUCUCAGCUUCUCUGUGCACCUGCAGCUGGAAAGUUGAAAAAGUCCUUGAUCUCCUUGGCAACAGCUAAAACAUCAGUGAGUUCUCACAUUGUUUUCACAUCAACUCCAAAACACAGCCUAGCUACUGGAAAGAAAAAAUCAACUCUGUCCCAGGGACAGGGACUCCUUCCCAUGAGAAGUUCAGUGUGUUAUCACAUUAUUCUCACACUAAUUCCAAAACAAAAGACCAUGCUAGAUACUAAAAAGAAAAGUUUCUAAAUACUAUGAAGAAAAUUAACUAGAUCCCAGCAAAACCAGCACGGUAAUAUACAAAGGUAGAAAGACUGAGAAUGGCUGAUGGAGAGGCUUUCUUGCUUUCUGGCAGGCUGUUCACCUGACAGCUUGGCAGCCUGUUGGCAGGGCUGGCUGGGAAGCCUUGGGGCCACAGCACCAACAGAUGAGGACCUCUGGUUAAGAGUCCCUGAGGGUGCAAUUAACAGGCACCAUGGGACUGGAUCUGCCUGGGGUCAUGUCCCCAAAGUUGAAAAGAAACAUAAUUGUUUUUUCAUGGAACAGAGGAAAAUCUUAUUUCUUUCCAGCCUGGAAGAGAUCCCACAGGGUUCUGUGCACAGAUGAGGUGAGAUCUGAGUAUCCUAUGCACAUAGAGAACAGUGUUCAUUGGUCUUAAACUUGUUAUAAUUACAGAUUUUGAGAUGUAGUGAGCACACCACUGAUGUGCCUUGUUUUUCCUCAAGGCAGGUUUCUGUUCAGUUAUGUCAACCACUGCUUGAGGUUUGUAGGCUGAUUUUCCAAUCCCGUCCUUGGGAAUCUGAUGUCAUAACUUUGACAGUGUUAGUUUGGAUGUUGCCUGUUUUAUGCUAUAUAUUAUCUACUCUUGAUGAUACUCAGUGUGGUGAAUAGCACAUGCAGACUGUGUUUCCUGGGAUAUACAGUAAUUUCAGGCAAAUAAAGGAAAAACAAAGUGAGAAAAGUGGUUGUGGAUACAUUAAUUCUGUUGCCUGAAUGUGGCAAGAGGCGCAUACAAAUUUUCAUUAGCUUGUGGAAGGGACACAAGGGUUUGGAUUACAAGGACCUAUUGUUGUUUAAGAUUACAUAAGGCUAAAGAGAAAUCCUUUAUGAGACUUUUAGGAAGCAGUCAUCUAUUGCCUGUCCACAUUAUAAGCCUCUGUGUGUCUCUGAUGUGAGUAAAUAUGUAAUCUGGCUUCUGUAUUUCACAUCCAACCUCCUUAUAAUAUUGUUCAUCCUAAUUAUGCCACUGAUAACACUAAAAACAGCUGGUUCCCUGAGAUACAGUGCAAUAAAUGCUUUAUAUAACAUCCUCCCUAUAAGAAAUCCUGAGGAAAACUUGACAAUGAGAAGUGUAGUAGACAGGAAAAAUUUGGGAUAACAUAACUUUCAUAUGGGCAGAGGGAGAAAGGUUUGUAUAUUUUAGAAAGGUUAUAGAAAGGUUAAAUAUAGGACGAGUCAAGACAAAGAGAGUGAACUGUGGUAGAAGUGGGAAAAAUGCAAAGAGAAAUAAUCUUUUUUCUGAUAAGGGGACAAAUGGAGAAUCUAUUUUGAGAUUCAGGUUGAGAAAAGUGGUAACUGAAGAAACAAAAGAAGCAGUAAGAGAGAAGAUCAGGGAACAGAUAUGGGGCAGAAAGACUGGGAAAAAAAUGACCAAAAUAUCAGUGUCUGGGGGUUCAGAAAAUGAUGCAGGCCCAAGAUUUAAAAAAAAAUAAAGAAGACUUUGGCAUUGGAAGGGAAACCACAGAACAGGAGCAGCACUCAGGCCACCAUGCACCGGACACUCUCCCUUUUGAGAUACAGGAUGACAAAAGCAUGUCUGAGCCCACCACAGAAACUCACUGAACCAACUAAUGUGACUGAUCUCAUCCUGUUCAUUUUAGAUAGAGGAGGCUCAGGAGACUCAAGACAAGAAGAACCUGCUUGCAUUUGGUGGAUACACGCGCCUGCAUUGUCCUCAUCUUAAAACUGAAUCAUCUCUCACCACAGGAACUAGAAGCAUUUGUCUUGAAGAGCACUGAGCAGUCCUCUUGGAGGAAAACGCAAGGUCUUCUCAAACGUGCUUUGUUUUACUGCGCUGAACACAAAGCUCGAAGACAUGGCUAUUGGCAAUGUGUUAUAAGACAAAAGACAAGGUGGCCAUGAAAAGUCAUAGCCUCUGGGACUUUGUUUCCAAAGUGGAGGCAGCCUCCAAAGGCUGGCUUUGUGGGAAAAAAGGCAGUCUGGGUGUUUUACACCCCAGCAGCUUCUCUGCAGCAAACAGGUGAAGAUUUAAAUAAAAAUGUUUCUGAUUUUGA